rnacentral:piRNA from 1 species
UGGCUUGCACUCAAUGACAUGGGAAUCUA